AUACGUAGGGGGCGAGCGUUGUCCGGAAUGAUUGGGCGUAAAGGGCGCGUAGGCGGCCCGGUAAGUCUGGAGUGAAAGUCCUGUUUUUAAGCUGGGAAUUGCUUUGGAUACUGUCGGGCUUGAGUGCGGGAGAGGUAAGUGGAAUUCCCGGUGUAGCGGGGAAAUGCGUAGAGAUUGGGAGGAACACCAGUGGCGAAGGCGACUUACUGGGCCGUAACUGACGCUGAGGCGCGAAAGCGUGGGGAGCGAACAGGAUUAGAUACCCUGGUAGUCCACGCGGUAAACGAUGAAUGCUAGGUGUUGCGGGUAUCGACCCCUGCAGUGCCGGAGUAAACACAAUAAGCAUUCCGCCUGGGGAGUACGGCCGCAAGGUUGAAACUCAAAGGAAUUGACGGGG
rnacentral:rRNA from 1 species